UGGAUUUUACACCUUAAACCAAGGCUCAUAUCAAUCGAAGGGGUUGAAAUCCAGUGACAACUUGCAUAUGGAGCCCCAAUGUCACACGAGAUAUGUACUGCUAUCUUUCGGAGGCUUGCCCAACUGGAUCAGUCUUGCUCUAAGGACACGCCUGGCAACAUCUGGAGGAAGUACAUAGAGCCUGACUUUGCUACAACUGUUUUGUCCAACGCCGAUCCAUUGACCGUUCAAUCUAUCCGCACUGGGUUUCAGGAAGGAACAUGUGUUUGCAACCCAGCUUCAUGCCGAAUGCAAUUCUUCCAGACGGAUGGGCUGUAUAUCUUUUUGAUAUGAUGCGGAAAUGAAUCAUUGUGUUAGACCCAGCAGUUGGCCCAUUUGGGUAUAGCAAUCAGCGGGUCAGCAUGCACGAGUUUGUAAGCAACAAACUGCAUGCUGCCCUGUUCAAUUGUCUACAUAGUUUCUUCAGUUCUUGGCACUGUGAUUCCACUAACUAGGGACGCACAUUCCGGAUCAUAAUGCGGGAAAAAAAUCGAGAGAGAUGAAAUUGGCUUGGGUGCUACUUUCUUUGCUAGGAAUUAUGACGGUGACAGGCUACAAAUCCCGCUGACAAAAGUAAUCAAGAAGGGAGCUAACCAUCUCGCCUAUGACACUCAUUGUUGAACAAGCUAAGAAAAUAUUGUUUUUGACAUGUUUUGCUUUCAAUAUUUUAGCACUGAAAAGCUUUUGUUUCACCUAUCAAACCUGGCACAUAAACUUUUUUCGUGGUAAAUUCUCCAUCACCAUCACGAUAAAUGACGCACCAUCAACAUUAUAACUUUUGUAUACCACGCGGUACAUUAUGUGUAAGUAGCAUGGUCAUAAGCAUUGAAGGUGUGAUAACUUUGAUGAAAGCAUCAUGGUAACUUUGAUCACUGGGAAGAAAUUUGUUGAACCCCGACCCCCGGUAAUUUCUGUAAAUAGCACGAUAACUUUCACGCCAUAGACCUGAUAAUUUAGAUACAAACAUCGUGGUAACUUUAACCAUUGGGGGAGAAAAAUGUGGAAAGAUACCAGAUAAUUUAUGUGUAAAUAUAUGGUAAUAUACGCAGCGCACAUCUGAUAACUGAGAUAGAAACACCAUGGUAACUUUGACCAUAGGGAAGAUUUUUUUAAGAUACUCCGGUAUCUUCUGUGUAAAUAGUACGGUACUAUACCUCACUCCUCUGGUAUUUUCAUGUGUAAAUAGCAUGAAAACCUAUGCACCGCGAUAACUAAACAUCAUGAUAAGUUUUUGACCCGUGGUGGGGGGGGGGGAUUGUGCUGAAACAUACCCCUGUUAAAUUUUGUGUAAAUCGCAUGAUAUUUUAAGCACUGCGGCUUGAUAGGUUACCUAGAAUCACCAUGAUAACCUUUUGUCCCGGGGAAAAGUUGUUCAAAACAUCCCGAUAAUUUUUGUGUGAAUAACAUAAUAAUAUAAGCACCGCAUAACUGAUAACUUACAAUAUAAACAUGAUGGUAACUUUUUACCAAAGGAAAAAAAGUUGUUAAAAACAUAAACUCACCUCGCGGAGCCUCUUAGAUGAACACAACACAUGAUGUGCCAUAGAAAAGCCACAUAACAUUUAGUGUCAUGAGAAGGCACACAUGCUCAUGGGUUGGCCCAGAAAAACGGCCCACUUUGCCCCGCUAUAGGCGUGAUAAGUUACGCAAAAAUAUCGUGGUAAUUUUUGACCUAUGAAAAAAGUUACCGAAACACACCCAGGUCUUUAGGUGUAAGUACCAUGAUAAUAUAUGAACUAUAGACCCGGUAACUCAUGUACAAUCCCCAUGGUAACUUUGACCAGGGACAAGAUUGAUGUACACAUACCCUGAUAACUUAUGUGUAAGUACCACGGUAUUUUACAUAUCAAAGACCUUAUAACACAAUGGUAACUUUGAAAGGGGUGUAGUUGUUAAAAAAAGGGAUCAAAACGAUUAGUUUCUUUAGUUUGAGCAACAAAUACUAAGGGUGAGGUUGUUAUGGUGGCGCGCUUUGGUGCCAAGAAGGUGUGGGUUUGAAUCCCACAUGCACAAUAUUUUUUUAUCAUGUGGUAGACGUGAAGAAGUGGCAAUUUUCUCAGGGGUGGGCGCGCGAGAUGUGCGGGAGAAGCAGGUUUCUCGGGCGAGCCUGCAGGGUCGUUCGGGAGAAAGUGGGGUCGAAGGAAGGGGGAUCAUGUGAUACUUUAAAGUGAAAGAAGUAGAGAUGUGGCAGUUUUACUUAUAUGGCACACAUGUGUCAAAUAUCAUAGUCCUUUUUUAAUACAUGGUCAACAUUUCCUCUAUACACAUUUAACAUUUUUCAAAUGCUUGAUUAACAUUUUUUAGUACAAGUUUAACUUUUUUUAUACAUGGUCAACAUUUUUCUAUACACAUUUUACAUUUAUUCAAAUAGUUCAUUAAUAUUUGUCAAAUACAAGUUUAAUAUUCUUCUUUGAAUACACGGUCAACAUUUUUCAAUACACAUUAAAAAAUUAAAUGCUUGAUUAAUAUUUUUCAAAUAUUUCUUUAACAUUUUUCAAAAGAUUGGAUUAACAUUUUUAAAACAAAUUAUCACUUUUUUCACACACAUUAUGUAUUUUUCAUAUACAUGAGAAAACAUUUUCUCCAUGCACAUUUAACAUUUUCAAGUGCUUGGAGUAUUUUUUUAAAUAUUUUAUGUAAUUGUUUUUUAGUAUAUUUAUUUAGAAUAUGUGUAAGUAGAAAUGAAAUUAAUAAAAUGAAAUAAAAACAAAAAAUGUAAAAAAAGAACAUAGUGACCUUCCGCGCACUGGACCGGUCUGUAUGCUUGCACGACUUCAGCUCUCAAUUGGGAUCAAUCUGGCUCCAUCGCGCUUCCAAAGAGCGAGGCUAACCACUUGACCAGCUAAAUUCUAGUGAUUCUUUAAGCGCGAACGUUUUAAAGAAUAGAAACAUAGACACACUAUUAAUUUCGCGUUACACUACAGAGUUGAGAUUUUCCAAUUAUUUGAAAACAUGUGCACAUAUUACAAAUGAAGUUCAUGCACAUGCAAAAAAAGUUCGUGUAUUCAAAAAAUAGUUCACCAAAUCAAAAAAGUUCACAAAUUCAAAAGAGUUCAUCGAUUUUCAAAAAAAUGUUCAUCGAACAAUGAAAGUAGUUCAUCGAUUUUUAAAAAAAGUUCACCAAUUUGAAAAAUUUGGAUUUAGAAAAAAGUUCAUCUAAAUAGAAAAAAAUCAUCGAUUUUGAAAAAGCUCAUCAAUUUUGAAAAAAUAAUAAUUGAGAAAGUUCAUCAAAUUUGGAAAAUAAGUAGCACUGGGUUCAAAUUCGAAAGCAGAAGAGAUGAAAGAUGGGCCGGCCCGUGAGUAGCUGUUGCAGGCGCCGGUUAGCAAAAACAGAAGAAACCGGCGCCUGCAGCGCCAAAUUGGAAUGGCCAUACCAAUGACCCACCGAGAGGAAUCAAAAACAAAUGUCUUACGAAAACAGACUAAACAGGCAAAAACUCGAGUAACGCCGGAUAAGAUGGCGCGCACGCUAGGCGGCCAAGAUAAACCUUUUUCCUCAAGUUUUCACCGUCUGUGGAUUUGUCUCCUCUUUGCCUGUGGCUUCGGCGGCCGGUGACAGGGAUGAUACUCCCGGUGCCUCCGCUUCAGUUAGUAGUUUAAGUUAGGGUGUUUUAGGCCUCGCGACAUUUGGACGGAUGGUGACGUUUCUUCUUCGAUCCUUCUCGAUUUCACUAGUUUGGAGGUAGUCGACGGAGCUCUGACAUAGAGUCUAACGGUAAGAUUAGUGUUUCUUGUCAAGAAUUGGUGUGAGGUGCUUCAAAUCUAUGCAAGGGUUCAAUGAGAACGACUGCAACUCCAGGCACUGAUCCUUAGGAGCAUGUGCACGAAGACUUCUUGACUGUCAUUAACAAGGUCAAGACGGCUCCUGUAAGGGAGCGGCUACAGCGGCGCGUCAGCGACUCGGUCUGAGGGAUCGUCAGGUAGUCUUGAAAUCUCGAUGUAAUAUUUAGUAUGUUUAUAUAUUUUUGAUGAACUUUUAUUUAUAAUAAGGACCACGAUAUUUGGCACAUGUGUGUCACGUAGCAAAACUACCACACACACCUCCUUUCUUCGAUAUAAUUACAUCAUUCCUUCACUCUAAUUACAUGCAUGCAUGUAUUAGGAUGAUUCAAUCUCCUUCUACAUGCAUUAUUUUUUAUAAUUACAUUGUUUCACUAAAGGACAAAAAAGCUGAUGUUAUUCUAUAUUUUCAUUAUUCAAAAGAUUCAAAAAAAAUGUGUAGCUCAAGCCGUCGGUCAGAUGCAAAAAACGUUUUCACAUAAAAGAUUAGUCGUGACUAGAUCUUCGAAACUAGAUCGGAUGUUGGUAUGCUCCGACAAUAUUUUUUCGGGUCAGAAGUUACCACGUAUGGGCUACAUAAGUUGCCACGCCUGUGAUAUGGAAGUUAUCGUGGUAUUUCCACAUAAAUUACUGGGUGCAUAAAAAUGGUUCUCCCACCCUUCUCCACAUGCACAUGCAUAUAUACACUAGAGACAAUCGUUGAUGUCAUCCUAGAUUCUACUUAUUUCGAAAAUUCAAAAUGUUUUGUAGCUCAAACUAUCGGAUGUAAAAAUUGUUUUCACAUAAAAGAUUCGUCACGACAAGAUUUUCAAAACUAGAUCUCAUGUUGAUAUGGUCCAAUGAUUUUUUUGUCGAGUCGAAAGUUACCAUGCCUGUGGUAUGCAAGUUAUCGUGCCAUUUUCACAUAAGUACAUGGUAUGUCUUUCAACAACUUUUUCCCCUCUUGGUCAAAGUUACCGCGGUGUUCGUACGUGAGUUAUCGGGUAUGUGGUUCGUAUAUUAUCAUGUUAUUUUCACAUAAGUUACCAGGGGUAUGUUUUUAAUAACCUUUUCCGUCUGUCAAACUAACCGUGGUGUUUGUAUGUAAGUUAUCAGGUAUGCGGUUCGUAUAUUACCGUGCUAUUUUCACAUAAAUUAUCGGGGGUAUGUCUUUCAACAACUUUUCCCAUUUUUGGUCAAAGUUACUGCUGUGUUUGUACGUGAGUUAUCGGGUAUGUGCAUCGUAUUAUCAUGUUAUUUUUACAUAACUUACAGGUGGUAUGAUUUCAACAAUAUUUUCCCCUCUUGAUCAAAGUUACCGUGAUGUUUGUAUGUAAGGUAUCGGGUAUGUGGUUCAUAUAUAACCGUGGUAUUUGCGCGGAAAUUAUCGAGGGUAGUUUUCUAACAACAUUUUUUCUUUCGUUCAAAGUUACCGCGGUGUUUGCACGUAAGUUAUCGGAUAUGCGAUUCAUAUAUUAUCAUGCUAUUUUCAACAACUAUUUUCCCCUGAUCAAAGUUAUCACCGUAUUCGCCAGCAAGUUAUCAGAUCUUCAGAAAGUAAGUUAAUAUGCUAUUUACACAGAAGUUAUUGGAGAUAUGUUUUCAACAACUUUUUUCUUCGGGGUCAAAAGUUACAGUGAUCCUUGUAAAUAAAUUAUCAUAUCCGCAAUGUAUAUAUUACCAUGCUAUUUGUGCAGAAGUUACCGAGUGUAUAGUAGUCAAUAACUUUUUUUUCCGAGUCCGAAGUUACCAUGGUAUUUGUAUGUGAGUUAUUAGCUGUGUUGUUUGUAUAUUACCAUGAUAUUUUAAUAGAAGUUAUGAGGGGUAUGUUUCCAAUAAACAUUUUUACUGGCUCAAAAAAUUAUCAUGAUAUUUGUACAUGAGUUAUCAGCUCUACGGUGUGGUAAAUAUCAUCCUAUUUACACAGAAAUUAUCAGGUCGGUUAUGUUUUCAACGACAAUAAAAUUCACCGGGUCAAAGUUACCACGAUGUUUACACAUAUAUUAUCAGGUAUGUGAUCCAUAAAAUAUCAUUAUAUUUACACAGAAUUUACCGUGGGUUUCAACAACUUUCCCCUCUGCCUGAACAAAAAUCCAUUUACACAGAAUUUACCAUGUAUUUAAAUUGUCAUGCUACUUACACAGGAUUUACCAUGCUACUUAUACAUAAUUUACCUUGCUUUAGGAAGGUUAGGCAAGAAUGAAAGUCCACACACUCUAAACAACACAAAGAUAGAAAGGAACUACUUCCUUGCAGUUUUCUUGCCAAUGAUGAUUAUCAUACAAGAUAGGCGACCGAACAUUGUCCCUGUUCGACAUCAGUGUCUUCUUCGCUUUCUAUCAGGUAAAUUCAAGGGGAAAUGAAGCUGUAAAUUUUAUUAUAUUGGGAUGGAGAGGAGUAAAUGUGACAU